rnacentral:piRNA from 1 species
UGGCACUGAUACCGAUAGCUUGGCCAUUG